CCUACGGGAGGCAGCAGUGGGGAAUAUUGGGCAAUGGGCGCAAGCCUGACCCAGCAACGCCGCGUGAAGGAAGAAGGCUUUCGGGUUGUAAACUUCUUUUGUCAGGGACGAAGCAAGUGACGGUACCUGACGAAUAAGCCACGGCUAACUACGUGCCAGCAGCCGCGGUAAUACGUAGGUGGCAAGCGUUAUCCGGAUUUACUGGGUGUAAAGGGCGUGUAGGCGGGGAAGCAAGUCAGAUGUGAAAACCACGGGCUCAACCUGUGGCCUGCAUUUGAAACUGUUUUUCUUGAGUGCUGGAGAGGCAAUCGGAAUUCCGUGUGUAGCGGUGAAAUGCGUAGAUAUACGGAGGAACACCAGUGGCGAAGGCGGAUUGCUGGACAGUAACUGACGCUGAGGCGCGAAAGCGUGGGGAGCAAACAGGAUUAGAUACCCCAGUAGUC
rnacentral:rRNA from 1 species